CAGCCCGGGGGAGCUGUCCCCACUCCACAGCACUUGCACUCACAGCCUGCCCUCUCCAUCCUCCCCAGCAAACCAAGGCCUUCUUCCCAGCAUGCAGCCCCUCCCAACCCUGCCUGGGUCACUCUGGUGGAGUACCACGGCCUGGGAACAACUCCUGAGCUGUUUUUUUCUGAUGGGCUCCUCAGGGUGAGGGGUGGGACUGGCAGCUGCCUGCCCCAGGGCUGGGUGUGCCAUGUAGCACAGGGACAGACACCCUGAGCUGCCUCAGACCUGUCCCUCUGCACCAUGCAGACCCGAUCCAGAACUGCAGAUCCUAAAGAAACAUGAGGAAUGGAUGUCUGAUCUAAUUAAAUAUCUGCCAGGCUCAGCAGCUUUUUCUCACACGGUUGGUGCUGCAAAAGCCAACCUUAGCAGGAGGAAGAGUCACUUCCAGAUCAGCUCAAAUUUGCUCCCUCUGCCUGCACUGCAAGCAACAGACUUUGCUGAACACGAGGGAAAUGGAAAGGAUGGUUCUGUAAUGGUUUUGGGGUGGAAAAGGCCAAGAUCCAUGUUUUGGGGAUUUCCCAGUGAGAUUCUCCAGGGAAAUGCCCUUUAACCCCCAUUCAGUGCAGAAGAACAUCUGGGCAGGCUGUGUCUGUGGGGCCUCUCUGGAGCAUGUGGAGAUAGCUUGGGGUCUGGUCCUAAAGACCCCAAAAUACCAGGAUGGUUGUGCUGGAGGGUUCUGGAGAUCCUGAGGGGGCCAAGCUGGAGGUGAAAAACUUCCAGUGCUCAAGGCAAAGGUUUCAGGGGUGAGAAAAAGGCCACAGGAACUCCCCAUGGGGCCAACCACAGACAGCCCCACGCUGUCUCCUGACUCCUUCCUGGCUCCCAAACCUUCUGAACCCUCCUGGGCUCUUCCCAGAGCAUUCCUGCAGGUACAGCCCGUGCUGGGAAUGCUGCUUCCCUCUGGCUGGCUGCUGGCACCUGAGCAGGGUCAGCAGUGCACUCAGACAGGCUACAGGAAUACUCAGCUUUGGGAACAGCAGGAAGGGCUUUGGGUGCUUGCUCAGACUGAGCCUGACCUCAAAAAACACCAGAGGGAACCCAAACUUCACCUGGAGCCCUCUGACCCCUGGUUUGCAGCCAAGCAAGUCCCUGCAUUGUGCCUUGGCUCCUAAAUCAUCCUUCAGACAGUUGGCCCUUGGGAAAAGAGGGGUGCUUGGACAUGGGGUGUCCAGCUGAGACCUCCUGGGCUGCAAUUCCCAGUCCAGGGGCUGCAUCAAGGGACUGGUUUAAGGGUUUUUCCAAAACUUGGCCUGACCGGCAUCACCAGUAACACUCUGAGCACUUGUCCACUUUGCAACCUCAGUUUUAUUUUAUUUUAUUUUAUUUUAUUUUAUUUUAUUUUAUUUUAUUUUAUUUUAUGACAGCUGUGAAUACUGUCUGUACCUAAGACAUGCCCGUGGUAAUGUAGACCAUUUCUUAUGGCAUUAAUAACCAUAAUUAUAUCCCAUCCCAUAAGGAUGGGAUUUUUCAAAAGCAAUCAGGAAGUCAAUAAGAGUCCGUAAGAAGUGGGUGCCUCAUUUCCUCGAGGUGCUUUUGCAAAUCCUACCCUAAAACAUUGAUAUUUCAUGUGGGCACAUCUAAGUCUGUGUGGGAGAAGCCUCAAAUCCUUUUUGAAAAGUGCUAUGCAUACUGUAAUUGGAACAGAUUAAUAUGAAUCUCUGUGGCUGCUUAACCUUUUAUUCUCCUUAUUUCAAAACUCACUGAGUAUUUCAGUCACAAGCAACUGUAUCCUGCAGUUAAUGAGGGGCCAGAUCCAGCCGUGUCACUGCCCUGACUGCAGCAGAACAAUCCUCAUCCACCCCAGCCGGGGAUCAGGGGCUAAGAAGCAACCAGAGUCAUGUUAUCAAGCUGCAAAUAUAUGCAGAGAAGUGUGUUCUUCUAGACCUCCCAAACACUCUGAGCCAGACCACAGCCUCCUGACCAGGCUCCUGCUGCCACCAGCCCCAGGUUAAAGCCACCAGGACUCUGGGGACAGAUAGGUCCAGUGGAACACCAUCCAUGGAUUCCAUUCCUCUGCAGCACAGCACAGCCCUGGAUCAGAAACUGCUGGAGCAAAAGCCGACAGCACCUACUGAGAAGAAAAAAAAAGAGUUAAAAAGCAUGUCCUGGACUGUGCAGGGCCAGAGACUGAAUGUGUCCUCUCCAUGCAAGCACCAUGAGAGGCAGCAGAGAGUCAGGUGUGACCUAAGUCUCAGCAAUCUUGCAGGAAAAAAUGAGACUGAUCCUUCCUCUGCUUUUGGAUCAGGCUGAGCUCUGGGUUGUGAUUUACUCCAGCAUGAGGGAGAACAGAGCUGGGCCAAGAGCUUCAUGUCUCCUCCUGGUUUUGCCUCUCUAUCUCCUCCUGGUUUUGUCAUUCUUUGAAAUAUUUGGGGGCUGUGAGAACAGCUCCCAUUAAGUGUAUCACUGGCUUUUCCUCUUGGUAUUUAUGAUUUAAUAAUUCCUCAAUCUGUCACAAUCAGUAUUGAAAGAGCGUGGCUGG